AGGCAAAAACUACAUUUUAAGCUAAGCAAGAUUAGCAUUCUCUAAACCAACCUUAAACAGACAAUAUAAAUGCAUUUUUCUGUCACAAAUGAACCCUAGACAAUCGCAGCCACAGACCAAAUACUCUCACCUUCACAUUUUGCAUUUUUUGCAUUUGAGAUUUUUCUGCACAAACCACCAAAAACCCUUGAACCACCUUCAUUAUUUCUUCAUCUGGACUCCAUUUGGAAGUGAUUUGCAGCAUCAAAUCUCGUCUGCACAGCCAUCUUCAUGCUCUGCUAUUUCCAAGAUCCAACAAUGGCAGUUAGAGCUUUGAAGAGUUCCAAGUAUCAUUAAGCCAAAUAGCCUCAAAUAUCCAUCAUCCUGUAGCUGUGUGGGCAUCUGGUUCGAGCUGAAAACAUCUAAACAACCCUGUUUCACAUUUUUCUUCACAACCAAGUAAGUUUUCGACCAUCAUCAUUCUCAAAUCUAUGCCAUGUGUUAGAUAGAACUUGCUUAACUGAAUCCAUUGCAACUUACAUCAUGCUAAUUGGUUGAUUGUGCUGUGAGAAAAGUGAAUUUCAUUAUUUAUGUUCAAACAAGUUUUAGCUCGAUUUGCUAUAUUCAUGAUGAGUUAAUGAAAAUGGACACCAUACUCUUGUUGCUUGAUGUUUAUUGAUGAUGUUAGCAUGCUUGGUUUCGAUUUCUGGGCACAUAAAAAUUUCGGAUGCAUGUUAGUGAUGAUGUUGUUGCUGCUGUUUAAACCUGAUGUUCUGUCCAGAAAACUCCCAUGAUUAUGUUGUUUUGCUGUUAGCUAGGGUUGCUUAUUGAUAAAUGUUCAUGGCCAUGCUCGAUUGUUUGAUGCUGGAUAUGUUUUUUUGUUCAUGUCAAUGGAUGAUGUUGUUUGAAAAUGAAUGAUGUUGGUGCUGCAUAUGCCCUGCUGUUUGAAAACUUUAAACUUGCUCAUAAAAUCCACAUGUUGGUGUUUGUUGUGUUUGGUCAUGGAUGCUGGAUUGUUGUAUGAUCGUUGUUACAUGUUGCUGUUCAUUUGUUGUUGUUUUUGAUCGAUUGAUGAAGCUGAAUCAUGAACCUUGCUGUGUUAGAAACCCUAGGGUUUUUCUUAAACCCAGAAAAUUCAUCCAUUGGCCGAGUUACUGUUUUAUUGGCUGAGAGCCAAUCAAAACAUUUCAUUUCGAAGGGCCAAAACGCGCAGCUUUGAUUAGUGAGGCGGAUAUUACAAGUUUGCCAUCGGUUGACCUUAGUUUGACCCCUUUGUUCAUGUUGCUUGCUCAUGUUGCUUCAAUUAUUCACUCAAGUUCACAAAUUCAUUUCUUUCUCAAUUUUCAUCCAAAAAUCAUGAAAUUUUUUCCAUCAUCUUCACAAGAAUGUCCUCUAUUUUAUUGUGAAUUUUAAUUAAUUUUCCAUUGACUGGAUUUUUAAUGAUAAUUGUUUUCCCAACAUGU
rnacentral:lncRNA from 1 species